GGAGCGUGGGAAGACUCCAGAAUCCACUCUGGCUGGAAUCCGGUGGAUACAGCAGUGUUUACAGAACAGUUCUCCACAGUCACUGUCCACAUGGGUCAGUGGGACCAAGCAGCACUCUGCUAAUGUGUGGACUCUGACCAGCAACAUCCAGCAAGACCCAGACAGCGUUUUCUAUCUCCCAGCUGGAGUUUUUUGUUUGUGACGGGAGAGUCAGAUUUUUGUUGAGGCUGGAGGAACAGCCUCACACUUGCAGAGGUUAAUACAUGCUACUGAUCCCUGAUGGGAGAAUCUUCACCUCUGCCAACAAAGAAGCCUGGUGGAUAUUUGUUUACAGACUGAUGAUGGGACAUCAUGCUCUGCAUCUUCAAAGUUUGUCUCUUGAUUAUUAUUCAUACACAGUAAUGUGAAGUAUGCUUAUAUCUAGUAUAACUGGACCAACCUGGUGCUCUUCAUUUAUGGAGGCUGUUGAGUCUGAAUGUUGGAUGUUGUGUAUCUCGUGUUCUCUGGGCUUUGUUGUCCUCAGUCUUUUUGCAGAAUCAGAAAACAAAACCAGGAUGACCGUAAAUGUUUCUUCUCCAAUUGGAUGAUGAUAAGACUGUGACACGGGAUGCCACCUUUAGCCUUGUGAUGAAGCAAAGCUCAGGAAGAAGUGUGAUUAAAUGGUCCCCACAUGUGUGCUGCUGAGAAGGAUGUACAGGGGCACCUGCAGCCAAAUCCAAGCCUCCUCAGAGCAGAGCGGCAGUUUGUGCUCACAGAUGGUGACGGUGUGGAGAGACGGUGGUGUUUCCUCAGAAGAACUAGCAGAGUCACAAAGGACACGAGUCCAUCUCACCACCUUGACUUGCUGACUGAUGCUCGUCUGCACUGCACAGAGGAAAUCAACUAACCGAGGUAAAUCUCCAGUUUCUGAGUGAGGGAGAGAGGAGUCAUCAUCCAGAUGGGCAGGAUAUCAGUCUUGGACUGUCUAACCUGCCGGAGCAGCACUGAAUGAUCACCACACAUGAGCAUGUUCCUGCAACAUUCAGCAGCUUUGCUUUUGUGUCAAAUGUCAACCAGCUGGAGUGGAAACUACACCAGUGUACUGGGAUGUUUCACCAACACGUGCCAGAUGCUGUUCCUUCAUGGUGACAUCACCAGAGACAGCCCUGCCCACCUCAGGACCUCGCCAUUGAUCAUGAUGAUUAUGAUGACAGCGAGCGGAACUAAGACUGUAAAAAUCCACGACCAGAAUGUUUAGAUGCUUUCUAAUUAUUAAUGAAUACUGAGAGCCUCUUUCUGUGUUUUGUCUGUUUUGGUUUUUUUACCUCAUUUGUUACUAACAAAGUUCACCAAACUCACACAGUUUACAUUCUGUAUGUUUCCAUCUUUACCAGCCACAGUCUUAACUGCAAUUAAGCAAAUAAUCCUUAGAAAUCGUUGCUUUUCUCUUUUGUAAUUGAUGAUAAUUCAGUGAAUAUACUGCGCUGCUUCCUUUUAUUGCGUCACACAUUGCUUUAAGUUUUUCAGUGUCCAGUUAUUUUUUUACUGCUGUUUGAAUUCUCUGCAUGUUUGACCCUGUAGACUGUUUAAUGGACUGCUUGUCUUGUAACCGCUGCCUGUUUUUGACUAAAGGUUUGGAUUUCUGACUUUAA